ACGGGUGAGUAACGCGUGGGAACGUGCCCUCUGGUUCGGAAUAACUCAGGGAAACUUGAGCUAAUACCGGAUACGCCCUUUUGGGGAAAGGCUUGCUGCCGGAGGAUCGGCCCGCGUCUGAUUAGCUAGUUGGUGAGGUAACGGCUCACCAAGGCGACGAUCAGUAGCUGGUCUGAGAGGAUGAUCAGCCACACUGGGACUGAGACACGGCCCAGACUCCUACGGGAGGCAGCAGUGGGGAAUAUUGGACAAUGGGCGCAAGCCUGAUCCAGCCAUGGCGCGUGAGUGAUGAAGGCCUUAGGGUUGUAAAGCUCUUUUAUCCGGGACGAUAAUGACGGUACCGGAGGAAUAAGCCCCGGCUAACUUCGUGCCAGCAGCCGCGGUAAUACGAAGGGGGCUAGCGUUGCUCGGAAUCACUGGGCGUAAAGGGCGCGUAGGCGGCGUUUUAAGUCGGGGGUGAAAGCCUGUGGCUCAACCACAGAAUGGCCUUCGAUACUGGGACGCUUGAGUAUGGUAGAGGUUGGUGGAACUGCGAGUGUAGAGGUGAAAUUCGUAGA
rnacentral:rRNA from 1 species